rnacentral:lncRNA from 1 species
ACUUUGAAGAACGCAAUGUAUAUGAGCGACGAGUAAAAAUUGACAAACUCAAAAAGGAAUAUCUUGAACGUGAAGCUGUCCUCAUAUUCGGUCUGCGUUCGAGGAUUUUCAUAGUUCGUCAUCCAUAGUGCCAGCCGAUUGUAAACCCUCAGAACUCCAAAGGAAUCAAACAGAAAGUGGACCAUUAUUUACUCACCCCAAAAUGACAUAAAAAUCGCGAAGAAGACAGUCGCUGGAUUAUCAAAGAGAUACGUCAGCCUGGAGAACAGACAAGAGUCUUUCAACCUUCGAUACGAACACGCUCUAUCGCACAACGGACACAGGGUGAUGUUACCUUCGUAAAGGAGAAACGAUUUUUCAUCAAUUUUUCAAUAUAAUCAAUCGCCACAAUAAAAAAUGCUGUUUAGCGAGACAGCUUCGAGGAUAAAAGAAAUCAAACAGCCGGAGUAUUUUUUCUGGAUUCUGCAUACUUCACUCGGUAAUUUUAUUACCGAUCAUUUGAUAGCAUUAAUCGCCAGGUAAUUCAAUUAUGCAAUAAUUCUUUGAGAGAAACCAUUGAAUCGUUGAAGAAAUUGUUCAUUUUUCUUCAAAAUUCAUAAACGAGUGAACAAAGAAAAAUGUACAGAAAUAAAAUCAAACAGAUAACAAAACAUUAAAAAGCCUCGGAGCUUACCAGCGAGUUUAAGAUCACAGAUUUCUUUGGUCGGUAUGUUGUCGGGACUGUCCAUGCUUCCCAGUCCAUAAAUGAAGCAGAGAACACCCACGAUUGCCGGUGGAUACAAAGCUUUCGUGUAAAAACCCAACCAGGCAUAAUACAACGCAACUUUUUCACCGAAAUAACGUCUUAUCAACCACAGGGGUUGUCUCUUGUACCUUCAACGAAUAAUCAUCGAAAAUUAUCAUAAACUUAUUGUACGAUCACUCAAUAGUAAAGCAUUUUUGUUGAAACCAUAGUUUGUUACAAGCUUUCAAUGGUUUCAAAAUCCCUCUAUUUUUUUCAAUCCGAGAAAUCGGAUGUUCAGAAAUAUUCAUGAGUGCUCAGCUAAGGUGAAAAAACUCAUUAUAGGCAGAGACAGGAAAACUCUUGAAUUAUUUUUCAAAUUGAUUUCUUUCAAAUGAUGUUUUAAUUUACGAGAAUGAUUAUGCUUGAUUAUUGGUACUUUUACAUUUUCGAAACAGUUGAAAUUUUCUUAGACUUCUGUUCAAUUGAGAAAAAAUGUUUGAACUUUGACCCAAUGGAAAUUUUGCAGCAGUCUUUUGCUUCGUUAGUUAUGUACUUGACUAAUCUCUUCUUUUUCUUACACAGUGAUAAAGUGGGAGAAAUUGAAUUUUACAAAAAUAGUCUACAUUUAUUGAGAGAUCAACAAUUACCACUGAGAUGGUCUCGCCCAGAUGAGGUAAAGUAAAUGCCUGUCGGUAAUAACCCCGUCUGAUCCAGGUCGGUCGUAAGGACCCUCGUGCAAUGGAAAACAAUCGAGAUAGCUGCCAUCAGCUAUCAAUCUUCUUACGCCAGCUUUUUCCGAAAUUUCGUCGUAUCUCGUUCUCGACAAUAUUUGCAUUACGAUGAGUGAUCUCUGGGCUGGUGUAUAGGCCGUUUCGCGGUCUUUCACGACGAAUCUAUCGAAAAAGAAUAAAAGAACGUUCGAUAUUGCAGCAGUGUCAUCGUCGCAAAAAAUUGAUCAAAUAUUGAAACUGGACGCGCAAUUACAGACUUCAUCGUUUAGGGAAUACCCUGAGAAAAGAAAUUUCUUGAUUCAAUGAAAUUUUUGUUGGAUCAAGGAAUCGUGACGAAAAAAAUGAAACUCGUUAAGUCAAUAAAAAUUCGGGUGAUCCUUAGUUUGCUGACUCAAACAAACAUUUCUCACCUCGACAAAAACGUUGAAUCAUCAAACAGUUUGUUGAAUCAACGAAUUUCAUUUUUUUCACUACGGUCUGUCGAUCCAACAAAGUUUUUUUGUAGAAUGUUGAUUCUACAUUACGCUUUACCUCGUUCUUAAGCUACAUUUCCAUGGCACACCCACGUUCGUUGGUAGAUUUUAAUCCUUAUUCACUUUUCUCUAAUACAAUUUUUCAUUUUUAUCAAAUUCCACAGAUUAGAGGGUCGAUGAGGAACAAUGAGAGAUCGAGAAGCCGAUUUCCACGCGCGAAAAAUAAACGGCCGUGCCCAAAAGAUAAAAUCCCAAUUACUCUGGAGGUCGUCUCACCAAUGUGACGAAUCACGACUAUAUUGCGAGCAGAGGAAAAAAUCGUUGGAUUAACCGCAGAUCCCGCAGCGUCUUGCCAAUGGUUUUCGGUUACCAUCGCAAUGUGUCAAAGAAUUGAACGCGCUAUUUUGACACAGAAUUGCACAUUUGGUAUGAUCGAGAGCCAGUAGUCGAACCAACGAAACUUUCCAAUGACAUCUCAACCCAACAAACCUACUUAUCACAGCUUUGAUUCGAAUGUUACAUAAGCUCGGGAAAGUUAUAGAAUAUGGAAAAGCGUGCGAGACAAUGAUCGAUGACCGCAAAUCGAUGGAAAAUGUCAUGUACCUCCACAUAUAUGAAGUAGACAUCCACCCGCGGUGAUGAAAAGUAGAUAUUUUCGAACGAUGCGACGCAAUGUUGAAAGGGUUUAGUCUUCGACCUUCGCUCGUCAUUAGGUGAAUUCGAAAAAUGUAGUAUUAUGGAACUUUUGACUAGAAAAAUGAAAGUGGUGGAAUAAUUAAAAGCUCGAAUCCGAUAAAAGCGUCCUCCCGCCUUCAUCAUUAUUCAAAGUUCAAUUCGAAAAAGCGGUGCGAUGGAACUUUGAAUUAAAAAGAAAAAGGAACUGCGGGUGUAGAGGAAUAAUUAAAAUCUCAAGCCCGAUGAAAGCGUCCAAGCACAUUCAUCACUAAUUCCGAUACUGCGAAGUGCGGUUGAAUAACGAAGUUGUAGCCGGGAGUUUGGAGUAGCGAACAGCUGUUGUCUCGUGGUCAAGUGUAAUUCUAUAAAAGUAUAUCUGGCCACGCCCAGCGAGGUGUGAUAUGAAUAGACAAGGGAAAAGUGCAUUACGCGUAUAGACAUUGUUUCUGCAUUGAAAGGUCGAGUCGAGUUAUAGCUCGUGUCUCAAUCGACGCUUCGACAUUGUCCAUACGCAAGUAAGUUUACCGAUCGGUCUGCAGGGACUGGGCAUUCUCUAUGGGGAGUGUUGUCCCCGGAGAGUUUGUCAUCGAUCGCAAUUUCAGCGAACGGUAAAUACGAUUCAUCAUGAUUUAGUGGUUUUACUUUGAUGUUUUGAUUAGGACUUUGAUUGAUGACGAUUGGGUUGUUUGCGUUUUUUUCCUUAGACGAUUAUGAGCUCCUUAAUAAUUUGGAUCUCACGAAAAAGUAAACUCGACCGAACAAACGAAACGUAAUCGUCGUUGAAUGAGCGAAAUUCUUUGUUCUUCAAAGGAGGAAACUUUUUCGAGGAUCCUACUUCUCGAUCGUACCUUUCUUCUCGAUCACCGGAAUCUGUGCUGCAGUAAAAACUCGGCUCUUCAGGUUCCGAGGAUUGGCCGAUCGGGGGAAACCACUAAAAGUGAAAAAAACUGAGGAAACCAAACGUUUUUAUCAUUCGAAAGGCACAUUUUCUUGGCUGAUCUUGGAGACUUUUGGCCUCGAGCGAAUUUCACACGAUAAUUAUGAGCUGACGAAUGUUCAACUUGUGACGACACUUACCCAAGCUUUGACCGAUAUCGUGAUGAAUCGUUUCGUGUACAACUUUAGGUUCAUCAAUUCGGCGUACCGAAUUUUCACUUUCCAAGGAUGCACACACGAAAAGAGAGAGAGAGAGAGCCACGAGCGUUAAUACAAAACGAAAUUUCUGUGUAUUUUCGCGUGUGUCACGCUCUCGCGGUUUGAAUGAUUGGAUUGAUUCCGUGAUGGUGCUGUCCGGAGUCGGGAGCACGAUAUGAGCGUACCGGAAGAAGAGAGUUUCUGGAUCUGGUUCGUUUUGACUGAUGGAUCCGCCCGCAGUUCCAUUUUGCAUGUGUCCAUUUUUGGUUUCCGGAUCGCUGGGUUCGCCCGGCGUCGGUGUUUCCGGCAGCGAGGGAUGGUUAGCCUCGGAAGCUGCGUGAGUCAAUUUCGGACCUAUGAAUAGCGAGAAGCACAUUUCGAAGAGGCGAAAUUUCAAGGAGUUUCGAUCGGAAGUGAGGACGCGAAAAAACUUGGCGCCCUCCGAGUCUCACCAGCGCGCUUUUGACAUCGCACAAACUCAUCCGUCGACGAGGAAAUAUCGAAAAAAAAACUUUUCGUACAUGUGAUCGUAUAAACAUACAAAGGCUGCACUUUUCCUCCUCGCGUAUAUCGAACUUCUACAGGCUCUAGCUCGUCCUCAAUAAUUCAACUACGCCACUGUUCGAAGCCAAAGAGUAUUGCCAGAUUGACCAAAAGAUUAUGCGGUCGCUGUGGCAUAGCUAAUCCAACGUGUGUAGCAGCACUCCCAACGGAGGGUGCAUACUUCAUGAAUAAUCAGCCACAAUAACAUCCCUGUCAAGGCAAAUUCCAACUGACUGAUCGGUGUGCGAUUUGCUUUUUGUUAUUCUUCCUGCUAACUGGCUCUUUGAAGCGUUUUUGCUUUUAUUGCUGUUCUCGGGGCUGAUUUAGCGUGGAAUCAUUUGAAGAGUAGAUUUAUUAUUUGAAAUUUUGACGAAUGUUUCAGAAAUACUUAAAAACGAAUACGAAUUAUUGAUCCAGUAGGAAUAAAAAAAAUUUUCUCAGUGCGAGCGAGUGCUUGAACAUUUUCAUGAAUUCAUUCAAAUUGGGCACCGAGUUCUAUGUCGUAUAAUAUUUAUUCAUUCUUACGAACAUACGUACUCAUUUUUUAUGAAGCGAGAACUCGAUGAAAAUUAAUGUGUCAUGGCAAAACAAGCGCGAAUGAAAUCCUGCUGUGUACCAUAGUAAAUUUCUAAACACUUUGGCGGAUCCUUGUGUUCGAGCUCCUCAAAUUUACCUAUGCUCAACUGUAAAUUUCGAUUGUGAAAACAGUACUAACGACAGAAAAACGGCAUUAAUAAUUCUACUUUACAGUUCAUCAUCGAGUCCACAUAAAUUUUACAACGUUUCUUCGGUGAAGUACGUAGGAACAAAUAGCACAGUUUAAACCUUUGUCAGAGCAAAGUAUGCGAUUGAAAAGUUUUUAUUCGGAAUUUACUUGGAAAUUACAAUGUUUUUGGUAAAAAUCUCCAAAAUGGGCGAUAUAGCCAAUCCUAACACUAUGGUGAUAUGGUAAUUUUUACAAUUUUCUUCUCUCCGUGUAAAUAUUCAAGCGCAAAUGAAAUUUUGCUACGUACAUUUUCAAACAUUUCGACGGGUCGGUGAUACAUGUAUUCGAGCUCUUGAAAUUUUACUAUGCUCAACUGUAAAAUAAGCAAUUCAGAAAUCUUCAUAUGAAACGACACGAAAACUACAACGUUUUUGGUAAAAACCUCCAAAAUGGACGAUAUCGAAGCCUGAUACUAUGACGGCAUAGUAAUUCUUACUAUUUUUUUUCUCCGUGUGUAUAUAAAAAAUAAUUGGUUACUCAAACGUUGCUACUUUGGUGCGUUCAAGCGAUCAAGUGUGACAGCUUUCAUACGAAAAUUAAUUAUAAUUGUAGAAAAAGAAAAAGCAUUUACUAUUAUCGAAAGUACCCUCCUAGCUUCACCACGAAUCCAAUAAACAACGCUUUUUUUCUUUACUUCAAAAUAAUACAAAAGAAGUUGUGCAACGUGAUAAUUGAGGCCUCGCAAUUUACGUGAUCCGUCUUCCGGUCGAUUAGCCGACAUCAAAUACAUUGGCACGUCAGAUUUAUUGCAAACGAUAAAAAAAAUGAUGUUAUCUUUUAACUGAGCGAGGAUUAAGCAUCCGACUGUUAAAAUGUGUUGAUCCAACCGAUUUCUUCGUCGACUCAACCAAUCGUGGCAAACAAAUAAAUUUUUCGAUCCAAAAAACUUUUGGUGGUUGAACGAUAUUUUUUUCAGAAAUGGAAAUAAUGAUUCGAGCCAAAAAACUGAGUGCUCGAUUCGCCUGAAUUUUAAUUCGGGGUAACAAAUUUCAGUUUCUUCGCCACAAUUUAUUGAGCCAACAAUAUUUUUCACAAUUCAAACUUGCAAUAGUUAAAAUUGAGAAAAUUCAAAUUUCCAAUAGAAAUAAGCUCGAGGCUCGAUCGAAUAAUUGGACUUUAAUGAAAUUUGUGAACCCAACUCAGCGCGGCUUGAAACUAAGGAGAUUCGAAUCCCCAAACACACAAUAUUUCUUCCAUCUGGGCUUUUGCUAAAAGUGUGUCCUUCAUAAAAACAUCGUUCAGACGUGAUGUUUCAAUUUCUAGUACGACGAUCGAGUCAAUUUUUCUUAUUUGCGUGAGAAGACUCGUUAUGAGGAAAAUGAUUAAGCAGAGUACAUCGUAGGUCGCGUGACCGAAUGUAUUUUGUACUAUCUGAACAUUUUCACAUUCACGAUUAAAUUUUAUACGCAAGGGU